GAAAAGGGUAUGAUGAUUCUUGAAAAUCAGGACAUGGAAAAUAAUUGGAUUGUGAAGGAGACAUUAUGAGGUCUAAAAGGGAAGAAUUUGAAGGUAUAAAUUCAGGAUUUUGUUGAUAAAAAGUUGGUGAUUCAAUGUUCCAUGCAUUUGCAAAAGUGUUGUUCCAAUUUUCUAUCCUUGGAGAAACUAUUUCUUCUAAAAAAUCUUCUUGAGUGAGCUCCAUUUCUUUCUCUCCCUCUCUCUCUAUUAUUACAACAAAAAUGUUGAUAAG
rnacentral:misc_RNA from 1 species